rnacentral:tRNA from 1 species
GGCCCCAUCGUCUAGCCUGGCUCAGGACACCGGAUUCUCGAUCCGGGAGCAGGGGUUCAAAUCCCCUUGGGGCUA